rnacentral:rRNA from 1 species
AUUGAACGCUGGCGGCAGGCCUAACACAUGCAAGUCGAGCGAGCGGCGGACGGGUGAGUAAUGUCUGGGAAACUGCCUGACGGAGGGGGAUAACUACGGGAAACGGUAGCUACUCCCCCAUACUAUCAGACGCGCCCAGAGGGGACUAGCUAGUGGGUGGGGUAACGGCUCACCUAGGCGACGAUCCCUAGCUGGUCUGAGAGGAUGCCCAGCCACACUGGAACUGGGACACGGUCCAGACUCCUACGGGAGGCAGCCGUGGGGAAUAUUGCACAAUGGGCGCAAGCCUGAUGCAGCCAUGCCGCGUGUAGGAAGAAGGCCUUCGGGUUGUAAAGUACUUUCCGCGGGGAGGCGUUACCCGCAGAAGACGCACCGGCUAACUCCGUGCCAGCAGCCGCGGUAAUAC